UUCUCUCUCUUCUUUCUCUGUCCCUUCUUCCUCGCCUUCUCCCUCUUCCUCUUCUGCCUCUCUUUCCCCUGAAAGAAGAGAAGAGCUCGUGAGGUUUUUUGUGGGUUUGAGAGAGAGAGAAAAGGAGAGGGAGAAAGAAAGGGAGACAGGGAGGUGGGUAAAGGCUUUUAAUGUUGUGAAAGAGGUCUGCGAAUCAACUUUUGGAGAAGAAAAUGAGAAAGAGAAAGGAGAGGAAAACAAAAUUAAAAUUUUUGUUUUUGGUUCUGUUCCUGUGGGUUUAAAUU
rnacentral:ribozyme from 1 species